UGGUACAGAAUGUUUACAGAUGCCUUAGGAAGAAAACAGCAGAAUGUGGAACUAAUUGUGUUUAUUCAAGAUAAUUAUGAAACACAAAUGACCAUUACUUACAACAAGUCCCCUAACAGCCAGAGUUUGACUCCUGGGGCCAAGAUCAAACCCAGUAAAGAAAAGCCUUACUGUUAAGUUAUACUGUCCAUAUGGACACCACACAUCAACAUAAACUAUUGCAGCUACUGCUCUCCCCUCUCCCCUCUUGUCUUCAGCUGUACAGAAGAACUGCAGCUGCUAAGUUUGAAGAGGAAAGGCUGGUGGAAACAAUGAGUGGUUUGGAAGAAAAGAAAUAAUGGAAUAUUUUGGAAGUUAUGUUGGAAUUCUGUCAUAGGAAAACAAAGCAGCUUUGAUGCACCGGUGGUGGUGAUUUAAUUUCAUUACGGAAAGGGAAGCAUAAAGCAAUCUAAAGACAUGAUUAUUAAUUCCACUGUAAAGCACAAUGUGGUGCAUAUUAUAUAUGUGUUCAUCCUCAAAUGGUUUGUUAGGCUAUCUCUAUCUAAUUGUGUACUACAAGCAUGAACACCUCAUUCUCAAAUGAGACAAUAAGAGGAAUCUGGUGUAGUGCGGUGUUCAGAUUACAUGGAUGUAGACAGGGAAGAAAAACAGUGAAAAAUUUCAUAAUGAAAUAUUUCAAAUAAAUUAAACCCUAAAUGAAUAUACAUCAUCUGAUUUCCCAGCUUUGUUGGGAGCAUCAAACUGUAUAUUUUUUAAAUUGACCUAGGAGACUGAUCUAUCUAGAUUUAUUUAAUUGAUCUGUCUCAUGCAGAUAAGGAUAUUCAAAUGGGUCACUGUUGUCAUUAUAGCUUCACUUUGGUUACUUCAUUCUUCUUGUUGCUUUAGUUGGUUUGUUUCUGUGUUGGAGAUAUUUAGACUAUCAGCAAUUUCAUUAGCAUGUGGUUCUUAUACAGAAAGGUCAUUGUAUCCUUAAUAGUGUGAAAAGAAUGAUUCAGACUCUACUGUUUUUGUUGAUUUCAUUUUCUGGUGACACACAUGAAUUCAAAUUCAACAAUGUCCAAGUGAGAAAAACAGCAAGUUCUUUGUUGGCUUUGACUCCUUCUUGCCCACAUGGAUGAGAAUAUACUUUAAAUAUUGGCUCUUAAAUCACUACAGGUUUUGCUUCAACGUUCACUUACCAUACUGUGCAUGUAAUUUAUGUUCAGUACUAUAAAACAAAAUUCAAUGUAUAUUCCAUAGUUCCAGGGAAACAGGAUUUGUGUGGGAACAUUAAUACAGAAUUGUUAAUCAGGAUUGAAACCUACCAGCACAUGCACUGUGACUGAAAAAUGCAAAGGGUUUAAGGGAACCAGAGAUGGUCAGUACACAGGUCAGAUCUGAGAUGUCUGGAUAACUGUUAACUAAGCUCCACACUUUCAGAGUUUCAACUAAGCUCACAGUUUCCUGGGGAAGAAAAUCCCCACUUAGCUCUGCAUUUAAUAUGACUGGAAGAAAUUAGACUAAGACAUGAAAUUUAUUCUCUGAAAGUUUUACAGAUGGUUUAUCACACCCCCUGUGGUUGUACAAUUCUGGAGGGAAGUAAUAGUCACAGGAUUUGCAUUUCACUCCUAUCCAGUGAUGUGCUCCUAGUUGUCAUUUUUUUUCUUUGUACUUGUCCUUGUUUUCUUCUUAAAGGUGAUUGCAGGUUCUCAGUCUCUUGCAGGUACUCCUGGAUACUUGCUGAUACCAGACAGGAGUGACCCAACCUGGGAACAGGCACAAACACAGUUGUUUCUGAGCAGUUGUCUUGGUCCCUAUGCUGUUUGUGUCCAGGGAAGAGACCCUACAGUGUCUCCUCCACUUUCCCCAUGGCUUAUGGCAACAUCAGGCACAAAAUGAAGAGAGAAUGAGCAAAGCAGACUGUUAGAAGUGAGCUGAAAUAAUUUGUGGUGCUGGGUGGACUUUGAUGACUCCUUGUUGCUUGGAAGAGCCAGACCAGACUAAAGGAUCAGGACCAGUCCCUCCUGGCAACAGCCCUUUUCCCUGCCUGCUACAUGGACCAGGCCAUGUUAAGUUCACCAGUUUCCCAAACCAUAUUUACAGCCAGAAGGAAGACUUACGUCUGCCCUGGGGAGCCGUUGUUUCUUUCUACCAAUGCACUCAAGUGGUACAGGUUGAAAGCAUGUCUGAGGGACCGAGGGGGAAGAAGCAGAAGGAAAAUAGCAUCCCUCAUCUCACACCCAGGGUGAAGAGUUUAUGCUAGCGAGAGCUCUGUAAUCUCUUUUCCAGUGUGUCUGGACACAGAAAAGAGUGGAAAUUAAU